CGGAGAAUGAAGACAACCGGACACCUGCAGCAGAUGGGGAAUCAGUGAACUUUUAUUGAGACAGAGACAAACUCUCAACGCAGCUCACAUCAAGAGAUUCCAAAUAUUUGCUGUGAGGAUGGGUAUAUAUUCUCUAAAACUUACAGGAGGGGGUUGUGAGGACAGUGCUGCAUUAGCAGAAAAACAACUCCAUAAAAGGAAAGCGGCCUUGGGUGUUCUAGUCUCUUCGCUUGCAGAUAUCUUUCACCUGCAGGAUGAGGCGAUCGCUUCUUAUCGCUCUCAAGGCCAAAGUCGUGAGCACAUUUUUAUUACACAGUUGCACAGUAACUUUAAAGCUGAACAAUAUUUAAAGCUGAAUAAUGUUUAAAGCUGAACAAUAUUUAAAGCUGAAUAAUGUUUAAAGCUGAACAAUAUUUAAAGCUGAAUAAUGUUUAAAGCUGAACAAUAUUUAAAGCUGAAUAAUGUUUGAUCAGAUUAUAUUUUCUUCAAAUCCCCCUUUUGACCCAUCUUAAAUGGGUCAACACACAAAAAUAAGUAACAAUCAAAGGAACACAGAGACGUGUCGAAGCCUGGCUCGAAAAACUCCUCGGGUCUUUUCAUUUGUCUUUAUCUGUCAUUGCAGAUGAGGAGAAAAGAGUCCAGGCACCACCCUGCCCAGGGGUCGGCUGCAAGCAGUCUCGGUUCCCGAUGAAAGCAGUAACAGCUGUCCUGCACACAAGGGUACAACGAGUUAGUGCAACCAGGGUAGUGACACAAAAUUAACAGUUCCUGUAACUCAGCAACCAAAAAGCAUAAGUAAUGAUAAAAAUGUGGAGAGUACAGAGUAUACUAUAAUAAUGAGAGAUAUAAACGUGAAAAUGUGAAAGAAUAAAUCAACCGUAAAAUAAACUCAGAACGGUAACUGCUAAGGACAUUCAAAAGUGAAUAUGGUAAAACUGGAGAGGAAGUGGUGGGCAAGACCCUAGGGGCUACAUUUGUCAGAUUGGGACUGUCAGAAGGGGGCGAAGCUUUUGAACUUGAAGGUGUCAUAAGUGUCGGGGGCCCUUCACAGAUCAGGAUUAUGCCAAUGGGAAUGAGACCCAGGGCCAGGAAGCAAACAAAGACGCAACAUCUUUGCCUGCCUGUCAUUUCAGGGGGAAAGGGCCAAGACAUGUUUACUUAGCUUGGAUGUCGUCUAAUAGAGGAUGAUGGGGCACAGAAAGGUGGUCCAGUUCCCCCCACCUCGCCAAGGGCGUGUUCUAGGAGUUAAAGAGCAACAACCUGCAAUCUAGAGAGAGAGAGAGAGAGAGAGAGGGAGAGCGAGAGCGAGAGCCCCUAAUGGCCAGUUAGUGGGCUCUAGGUCAAACUGUCCCCAAAUUUGUUAUUUGUUAUUAUUACUUGUUUUCAUGUCACUUGUCUGUUUUCUACUGCACCCCUCUCACCAAAGCAAAGCAAACAUUAGCAGCACAUUGACCGUAGUCAGGCAUCCUCAUUCCAUAGGUGCUAUAAAACAUUUCCUGUAAAUACAGUGUAAUAGCAUCCCCAACUCCUAACCCAUAAACACCGUUUCUUCACACAUCCGCCCAGAAAUCCUGUAAUAGAAAAACAUUAAAACUGUAACCCUGUAGGGAAGAAAAUGUAAAUGGUAACGCUGCGCAGUUACCUCUGUAAGCAACACAAGACACAAAAAUGGCAUUUACAGGUUCACUCAUCCUCGAAUAUUUUGUCAUCCUUCUACUCCUGUAAAAGAAACCCACAUAAAUUCAUCCACCCUUUUAUCCUAUCUAGGUGGAGGUGGUUAACCUUGAGUCAUGGUCAAGUCUUGUCAUCUUUUACCAGUCAGUCCGUUUGUUUUUAUUCCCAGUCUUUCAUCCAUUCAUCCGUUCUUUGCUGAUAGUGAAACCUGUCGUCGCAUCUAGUUUCCACACUCAGCAAAAU
ensembl:lncRNA